AGGCCGCGGUAGCCGCAGUUCGAUAACGGACGAAAUGCAAAAAACGGUCGCGUAGUUAGAUGCGCAUCAAAGAACCCUAUGGCGAUCAGAAUCAAUCCGCAGUCUUCCGGCUACGGCGUUUCUCCUAAUCGGGUCGUGGUUCUGGAACGCAAACGAUGUGUUCCUCUACGCGCAGACGCUUAGGAUUUAAUUUUAAUUUUUGUUCGAAGAGAAACGGCGCGCCAAAAGCAGGCGACGACAUGUGCGGAGAGCGCGAAACAUGUUGCCGCUUGCGCUCGUGAGUUGCAAGUCAUGCUCGUGGCCAGACACGCGAUAGGGAAGGCGGCCGCGGAACCGCGAAGGUUCCGUCGGUGGGUUGCAUAUCGAUGAAACAACGGCGACAGCGUUAACGCCAUUGCUGUCCAACAACACAGUGGAAGCAUGUGGAAGCUUCUAGAACAUUCCGAGUUCGGCAACUGUAUGCAGGCUGCGACUUUUUUUUUUUUAUUCCUUUAUUUUACCAUCACCACUCGCGCCGAUCACGGUGAUAACAGCGGCGCGGCGGCUAGCGAGCCAGUGACGUAGUUCGACAUUAGACCAAUGCGAGAAGAAAAGAAAUGCCCAGGCUUAUCAACGAUUGCGCCGAGGAGCUUAGCGUCGUGCUCGUCGUGGGCAUAGAGCGAGCGUCCGGUGGCUUGGGCCGCCAUAUUGCGUUUUCUUUCCACUUCGGCCUGCUUCGUGUCGGCUGCCUUCUGCGUCGCACCAUACCUCGAGCUCCUGCUGGUCCUAAUUGCGCGCUAACAGUAGCAGCCCUUGUCAAAGUUGCACGCUGCGCAUUAUUCCCGCCUUAGGCCGACUCUGCAAGCACUGGCUUCGUGCCCCGGGCCUGCAAAACGUGAGCCACGCUUCGAGAGACUUGUCACCCGGCCCGCCUGCCGGUUCCGUCUCGGCAGUUCCUCUCCCUGCUUUCGAGCUCCCGGAGUUUAUGACGGCCAGCUGGCACUUCACCCCUCGGGGAGUAUGCUACGUUACCAUACGCCAACGACACUCCGGUCGAGCCGGCGCAGCGUGAAGUCGCAAGUCGUUCCUGCCGACUACUCGUUCUUUUGUCUGUGCGCGUUCCCACCCCCCGACGACGCCUGGACUAUUGAACUGUGGAUGAACUCUGAGCGUGGCCACUCACCCAGGACCUGCGCGGCAACCCCUCGUCACGGCGAGCGUCGUCUCGGCGAGCUUCGCAUCGAGCGUCCUAUACGCUCUAAAGGCCUGGGCUCUUUGUGCAUUUUCUAUAGAUGGUCUAGCUGGCGAGGGUGGCGCACGCCAUAGGGAAGUUAACUCUUUGUUCAAUUGUGCUAGCUAGUGCUCACUAAGAUGUAUAGCUACAUCACAAAGUAACGUACGGUUAGUUUUGUUGCUUAGUUGUAAGCCCGAGGUUUCGUGGGCAUGGCUUGCGGCCACAUGGGUCUUCUCCGUGCCGGAAUCGAAGAGGACGGGCCACGUGUGCGGGGUGGCGGCGUGUGUAGCUUCAGGUUUAGCUGACACAAGGCUUAGCUCACACUAGGCAGGCUAGCUGACAGCCGUCCUCUUUCGACUUCGUCAGGGACAUGGACCCUUCCGAUUUGCCUUGCGACCCGACCCCACUAUUUCGUGACAAGGUAGCCCGGGCGCGUCAGUGCUAUCGAGCGAAAUGUGGAAUCACGGAAGCAAACGCAAUUCGGAAAUUGCCUCGCCAGCUAUUAGGGACUAAUCAUGCUCUACGCAGCAGCUCAACGCCGGACGUCGCCUGCGGUGUUCAUCGGAGCUCGGCCGGGCAGCAGCUACAAACUUCGCUCCUACCGCGGCCCACUGUGUUCCCUCGUGGGUGUGGUCUUGCUGGCAGACGAGACCAUGGUCAUCACCAUGCAAUACUACGGGAUCCCGUGGUCCGCUUUCGAGAUUGCGGACCACGAGUAGGAAGGAUAUCCAGCGACCUGCUCCACGUUUGCCAUCCUCCCAACGCCCCACAGGAGAUGGCCUUGAGCACCGCUUGUACCGUGGCUGACCGCGGUGGCUCCAUUGGAUUUCCACACCCAUGGCGUUUGGAGCCCUGCUAAUCGUGGCAGAAGAAUGAAGACACGUGUCUGAUGCUCGAGGCGUUGCACAUCAAUAAUGGAAGUUCUUGCGAUUUUCACCUCUACUUCCGAUUGCGGUCCACGAGUAUACGAAGGAUAUCCAGUGCGCUGCUCCACGUUUGCUAUCUCCUGCCUUCGUCCCAGAGGAGAUGUCCUUGAGCACCACUCAUACCGUGACCAACCGUUCUCCUUCACCGGUGCGGUAUCUCUGGCAGACAUUGCUCAUCACCCUGUUCUGCUACGGGAUCCCAACGUCUGCUAUACAGUGCGCUGCUCCACGUUUGCCAUCCUCCCAACGUCCCUCAGGAGAUGGCCUUGAGCACCACUCGCACCGUACCGUGGCCGACUGUGUCUGUUGCAUUCCCUCACCGAUGGCGUCCUGCUGGCAGACGGGAACGUGCUCUUCGCCCGCCACUGCUGUUGUCAAUUUCCGCUGGCGGGGCACGAGAAGAGAUCGUUCCAGCCAGUGUUGCCAAAAGAUGAGAUGAGAUGACAUGCAUCGGCAAUCGGCCUAUGACUCCACGUUAGCAGUUCGGCCGGUGACUGUGGACAUCGGAGUUCGAUCGUGGCCACUAACCGAGGACCUGCGUAGCAACUUCUUCGCAGCGAGCUUAAAUGCUCCCCAUGUAAGAUGCUAGAUGGUCUCCAAGCUGGCGAGGGUGGCGCACGCUUUUGAGAAGUUAGCUGUCAUUUGUGUGUAGCGGUGUUCAAAAUUGUGCUAGUUUAGGGAAUUAAUUGCAACCCCAAAGUAUGUGGGUAUAGCUGCGGCCACAUGGGUCUUCUCCGUGCCGGAAUUGAAGAGGACGGGCCACUUGUGCGGUGUGGCGGCGUGUGUAGAUUCAGGCUUAGCUGAUAGCCGUCCUCUUUGACUGCGUCAUGGACAUGGACCCUUCCGAAUCGCCUUGCGACCCGACCCCACUAUUUCGUGACAAGGUAGCCCGGGCGCGUCAGUGCUAUCGAGCGGAAUGUGGAAUCACGGAAGCAAACGCAAUUCGGAAAUUCCCUCGCCAGCUUUAGCUAUUGCGGCGACCUUAACUCGCCUCCGGCCCUGAGCGGAGCUCGGCCGCGCGGCAGCUACGGUGAGUAGUCAAUUUCUUUGAGAUUGCAGUGGUUCAUUGUUUGGUGUUUACUGUCCUCCUUACGUUGCAGGGGAUGACCUUGGUCACUACAGCCGUCAACGACCGCGUUAAUUCCUUCACAUGCAAAAGGAUAGAAAGUUGGGCGAGUUGGUACGGUAAUCCAAGAUCACGUCUCCUUCACAUGCCCUCGCCAUUGAAGUCAUGCUGGUGGAAUGGACUUUGUUUCUCGCCCGGCACUACUGUCAAGUACAGUGACACUCGAAUCCUACUAGGGCUGUGUUCUCGAGUGUUCACUAAGUCCUGCGUGAUUUCAGGUUCCGAUCUCCUGCUUUCGAUUGCGGCUAUCCGCAACGAUGUCCAGCAUGUGCUUCUGCAUAACUAGUCUCCAGUUUGCGCUAUAUAUACAGAGACGACUUUCAGCUCGACUCGUUCUAUGGCCGCACGUGUUGCAUCCGCAUUUUCUCGCCGGUGGCUGUCAGCUGGGAGGGAGUGGCGUUCGGCUCCCUGCAGAAGCUCUGGCAAGUACCAUGUACACUGUAAUCGUAUUGUGGUUUAUAAGCCCUGUGACGUUUCAGGUUCUGGAUGUCUGCAUUUGAAUGACGCGCUGUCAGCAGAUGGAGCUUUUCGAAGGACGGCUCUUGUUCGUCUUGGGGCUCUUUCCCUUAAUCCUGUUGCUCCAUAUUCUCGGGGCUGUAAAUAAACCAACUUGGUUGACUUCCCAUACACCGAUCUAUUAAAUACAUCCAUCAGAUGUAUUUACUAUGCAGACCCUCUAUUUUUGGUUUAUGCUUGGGGAAAACUUCCUUCGCCAUGCAGAUUUUCUAAAAGGCUCUUAAAUGUCGCUCUCCAAGUAAGAUGUCGCCAUUCAAUUUCUGGUUUCAUUUUCACACCCCUAAUUUCUUUCAUGUACUUGGAUCGCCAUAUUUUUCACUUUGAUUUUGUAAGUUCCUCUCCACUUUUGUUGACGGUUGCCGUCCUAUUCCUCACUGAUAACUCCUCCCAGAUUUGUUUCCGUCAGUCCGGUCCGCAGGAAUCAGUAGGUUCUCCAGAUUUAUUGUAAUCGUGCGUAAAUGCUUGUAUGGUUCUUCAUGAUACCAUCUACUUCGUAUAUUUAGGUAUAGUUCUUCAAAAAGGCAUCGGCUAAUCACUUGCAUUUGAAACGACUGAUGAACCAUUCAUAGAAACCGCCACAUCCUGCACUGGGCGUUUUCCGUAAGGAACUUGCACUUGGUGAUUGAUGAAAUCUGGAGUUGCUACGCGAUGCAAUGUUGUAUUGACCCCAUCUAAUUCAUACUUAGUUUCCCUGCAAGUCUCACGUUGUCGCUGAACAUUUCUUUUCAAUUUAGGAAGCGCACUCCGGUGAAGCGUCUCUAACGGUCUACAAGUGUGCAACUCUUGCGACGGCACAUAAAAAUUGUUCCACGAAGUUUGGCAAUGUCUCCUUUUUAGUUGCCACAAGAGCGACGGUGAAGUAUUGGUCAGCUCUUUCAUACAGUGCGGUCUUUGUUUUUCUAUCGGCAGGAAGAUGUACUUUCUCUUAAAACAUCCUGCAAUUGUAAGUCGCCAAACAACGCACUGUUGUCUUACUUUCACCGAUUUUCGUGCUCUGAAUAUCCAAAACCUCGUUCUUACACCAGUCAGUGUCAUGCUCUCCGCCGUGAAGUUUGUCCAUUUCGAUGUCGAACUAAGUGUGACGAGAUUUCUUUGUAAUGAGAUCGGGUGCUGCUUCUCUUGUCAUUUGGAACCUACCGAAGGUGCCCUUGAACUUAGAAUGGGCCUUUUUUUUUCUUACUGGUAAUUGGUAUUCGCGCAUUGUCUGCGCAUUCGCUUGUUUGGUGAACUUAAAUUCUUUUCUAAUACCCACAUUUGUUUUUUUGCAAAUAAGACAGGUUUCAGUGGUAUUCAUUUCAUUUACGGCGCCGUUGACCUUGUCUUCUAAUAUUCACGGAACGAAACAUUCACGCAGUUUCUUUACAAAUAUUCAAGUAACUGCCGCAUCUGUCCAUUUCGAUACGCCGUUUCGCAAUCCUUUCAGACGUAUAUGCAACACGUAAUUCAUCUCCUUCUGUUUCUACAUUAUCUGGCUUGUUUUGUAACUCGUGUUUAGCCUGUAGCAACUUUGAUCCGUUGCGCAACACUUUUGGCGACUUCAUCAGUUCUACGGUAACAGCUCUGGUUAUAAUUGCUGGAUUUUCAUUGCCGCUGACCUAUCCCCAUCGUUUUUUCCGUUAAGCAAUCCCUCAUAUCUUUGUCUGUGUUCAGUCGAAGCUCCACGCAUUUUCCUUGGUUAUCCAAUGCAGCACAAUUCUUUCAGUGGUACAAAACUUAGUCAAUUUCAUUAAAUUUUCCUUUAACUCCAUCACCCGGCGCUGAUGGAAGGUUAUAAUUUUGAGACUGGCGACGGUGUUUAUUAUUGCUAUUCUAUUCUUUGCGAGCAUCGGCACUGGCCGUUUCCGAUCUCGUAUAACAGUACCAUGUCGGAUGCAGUUGCAUACGCCGCCGGGCUUGCAUCCGAGUAAAUAAGUGUGCCAGUGCCUAUGUUUCUUGUUCUCGAUGUACUCCCUGAAUUUGUCGAACUUCCCCGAUACACUCCUCCAUCGUUUAUCUUGGUCUGGAAGAGGGUUUUUACAAGAUGUUCCUGUUUUUGCCAGUCACUGAUAUUAACAGUUCCAGUGAAGGACGUUAGGAAUCCCAGCGUUCAAUACAUUUUUGCCCUGGCUUGAAGUAGUUUCGUGAGCAUUUCUCUCAAUUCACUCGUCCAUAUUUUUGAUGAGACACGGCUGACGAUAUUCUGCUAUCCCAUUCUUAGAGUACUGAUUUUUUUUCUUGCUGAUGUAGGAACGGCAUCUUGAUGCGCAUUAAAUUCUCAUUUCUUCGCUUUGCGAUGUCACUAAAGAUUCGUUGCAUCUCGGCGAGAACUCCUUUUGCUUAUAUGUACACGCAUGUUGAAUGGUUUUCUUCUGAUCAGAGCAUACCGUCAUCAACGCUAAUCGAAUUACGUUUGUGGUCAUUGCAACUCGGCAGUUCUGAAAUUUUGGUGUUCACACAUUUGUAUUCAAAGUCCCUCCUACUUAAAGGUUUAGAAUAUUCUUCCACAUCUAUCACUGCAACGGAAUGGUUUCGAAAAUUCAUUCUGCAUCAGGUUUGAAAUUUUUCUCCUGCUUCAAGGUUUUCAUUCAGAACAUUCCUGGUGUUAACCACGAGGUUUCAAACGCCAUGCUUGCUUGUGUUGCUAGUCCGUCUUCUCUAAUUGCUUGAUGCGGCACAUAUUUAACGUGUUAUAUCUUCCGGCAGCUCUUGUUCUGCCAUUCCUGGCAUGCGGUAUCUUGCAUUGCGCAGUUCCACAUUUCUAUGGGAACACAAUUUAUCUCGAGCCCUCGAUAUGGUCUUCAGAUUGCUACUUCAUUUUAUACCUUAACUUGCUCUUUGUAGGAAAGUCUGGACUUAUAUCUCUAUCCUUCUGAACUCAUUGUGAAUGACGUAACUACAUCGCCCAAUUCAUGCAUCGUUUCUUUCCGAGUUAUGCCGGUAUUCUAUUUUCCACAGCUCUUUGUUAGCGUGUGUAUUGGCAGUUUUCUGCGACGGUGAAUAACCAUGACUGAUUUCGCGUUUCGCCUUUCUGAUUCUGCGCCACAUGAGCGACAGCAAAUCCAGUUACGAAUGCUUUCUACUGUGCAUUCGCUUAGUCUCUUCUGCCGUUCUUUUGUCGGUUCCCGGUAAAAAAAUAAUCGUAUCCAAAAAGUAUCCUGCAGUUUCAGUUCUCAUUCGAAAUCUUAUCCUCUUCGUAUAUCAUACCUUUCGUUCGGUCGAGCAAGUCGUGCUCUAAAUAUUACGUCUAUUUCAGUAGCCUCGAUUACUGUUUCACUAUCAGUAUUUUCUUUUUGGUAAAGCUUCUACCACAUUCCUCUCGCUUUCACUUCCGAAUGCUCCCAGCGUGAGCCUCUGCGCGGUCAUAUUUACAACCCAAUCUUCGUGGCAAACAGGCACAUGUAUGAGUGUUGGCUUCCUCAUUAAAUUACGUUAUCAAACAUUUUGUUGAUGCUGUGCUAUUGUAUAGUAGAACUUAAUGAUCUGGCUGUCUACAAAAUGCUAGUAAGUGUAUAGUUUACUAUGUGGUAUCGUUUUUUCCUUUGGCGUCGCUUCACUUGACUAGACUUAUUUGAUUUUCGUCUUGCGCAUUUAAUUUCACUUCGCAGCGCUUGCUAAUGAGUUGACUUACAAAAUUCCGCGUUAUAUUUUGGUCUCAUGCGCCCGAAGCAUUUGCUUUAGUCUUCAAGCUUCUGCUUGUAUUCAUGUGUUAUGGAUCGGCAGAAGUCUAUACGUGGGUUUUUGAUUAAAGUAGCGACAUUGUCUGAUCAAGCUUUCAUAAACUCUUCCUCGCCAAGUUUGAUCUAUCCACCCAUUUUCUUCGAGGUCUUUCUUGGCUAUCUUCUAAAUAAUGCAGUGACUCACUGCACCUUGCUUGUUCUUGCAAAACUCAAAUCAAUGUGCUUAUAUAGUGACUCUACGCUGGACGUUCCUUUGUUUCUUACAUACUGUUCAGUUCUGCCUGGCGUCACUUGCAUCCUCUCCUCGAAAAACUGGUAUCAAUAAACAGGCGUAGUGGCGUCCCACUCUUUAAAAUUGGCAUCAGCAUGGGAGCGUACGAAUAUACAUCCACUCCGAGUGCUUCCAUUGCAUUCAUGCGAACUCGUACUGUUUGGCAGAUUUCUCGAAAAUUUUUGAGGUUAUUUCACUGAUUCUAAGUUGUUCAACGCAUUCAUCUCGGCUUCAUCGGAUUUCUUCCUUCAAUCGGUGCACCUGCCUUCCCAUCGGAGGUAAAGUGGAACUUCUACCAAAUUUUGUAGAUGGUGAAUCGCGCUUUGGAAUGGUCUUGGAUGCAUUUCCUACGUCAGCUUGUUGCCGUAAAACAUAGCUAGACUCGGCAGCUACACGUAACUGCCUUGAUCGGGAGACAAGUUUACCAACGCGUGCUGUUCACUUUCUAUUGCUGCAUUAUUGUGCUCUUGCAUUUUUAUUCACUUCAUUGAUACUGCAUUAUCUUCGCGUUCUUGUAAUUACCUUCAUGUCGCACUCCACUGCUUGGUAAAAUUAACCGGUCGCUAUUCCCUCCGUGACAAACGGCUGCAUCUGCAUAUGCGGCUCGAUAACUGUUUUCCUCGAUUUGACUUAAGGCUCGUGGUUACAGAAUCUGUCUUCUCCGUCAUUGUAUUAAGGGGAAAGCCUUCAAUUGCUCAUACUCGUGGCGUCCGUCCGUCCGUCUGUCCGUCCAUGCCCUGGUACGGUGGCAGCUGUGGCCUCUCUCCCUCGCACUCUCAACAAUCGCGUGAUGGCACAACGGCGCGCGCGGCAACGCUCCUUCGUCAGACGUCUGGUUGCAGCAGUCGAGUCAGUCGGAUGACUCCCAAGCGGCCCAGUGAUGAUUCCACGGCAAGCGGUUCAGAGAAGCGCCCCAAGAAUAUGGAUUCCCCCGAUACCAAACGCCAGAAGAGAGAAUGCGCAUGCGGUGGGCUAACAUGUCACCGGUCACCAAGGUCAGGGAAGCGGAACGAAAGCGGCAGCAGUGGCUGUUGUCGCAACCGGGUCCCAGCGCAGACAACACACCCAGUACAUCCAGUGCCAGCAACGCUCCUCGACAGCACUCAGCACCGAGAAUACCGUACACGGCAGCCACAAACUACUUGCACAAGCAUUUCGUGCAGAACCCGUUUGGAGCUGUGUUCAGUGUGUGAUCGCUUGUGGUUCGCUAACGAUAUCUGCAAGGCCCCGCGACAGAGCCAUGACAUUCUCACGGAGCAUUUCCCAAACAGAUAUCGGCGCGUUCAAGGUGUGCCGAACCUGCCGCACCUCGCUCAAUGAAGUGAAGAUCCCCAACUACUGGACUAGCAGCGGCGCCAUCAACAGGGAUGUACAGCGUGGUUCUGCACACCCACUCUCCUGCCUAUGCUGUAGAUGGAGUGAAGCACAGCUCAUAUGGUCUACCGUGUUACAUCGGCAUUUUCUCACCGCUGUGGUCCUGCUAGCAGACUGGACAUUCCUCCUCACCCUGCACUACUACUGGUUCUACACUCGUGUUUUGGAUUGCGGCCCACGAAGAUACCCAGUCCGCUCCUGCACAUCUCUCCGGUCUACGCUCCAGAGGAGAUUACUUCGAGCACGAGCACCACCCGUUCCAUGUGUGACUGUGUCAUCACCUCUACAUCCUGUCGCCGAUGAGGUCCUGCUGGAAUACUCUCUUCCUCAACCUCUAGUAUUGCUGGUUCUGAGCUGCUGUUCCCGAGUGGGGCCCCACGACACCUAGCCGCCCCCACCCCCCCGCACGUUGACUCUACGGGCUACACUCCUGAUCAGCUUACAUCCAGCGCAAGCACCACCCGUUCCAUGAGUGACUGUGUUAUCACCUCUACAUCCUGUCGCCGAUGACGUCCUGCUGGAAUACUCUCUUCCUCAACCUCUAGUAUUGCUGGUUCUGAGCUGCUGUUUCCGAGUGCGGCCCACGACACCUUGCCCCCCCCCCCCCCCCCCUCCGCACGUUGCCUCUACGGGCUACACUCCUGAUCAGCUUACAUCCAGCGCAAGCACCACCCGUUCCAUGAGUGACUGUAUUAUCACCUCUACAUACCUCUAGUAUUGCUGGUUCUGAGCUGCUGUUUCCGAGUGUGGCCCACGACACCUAGCCCCCUCCUACACGUUCUCUUCGGUCUACGCUGCAGAGGAGAUAACUUGCAGUACGAGUGCCACCCGUUCUAUGAGCGUCAUUGAACAAAUAAGCGCUGUGUCGUUCCAGGUUCUGAACUAGCUUUCGAUUGCGGCCCACAAGGAUGCCAAGCCCCCCUCCCCCACUUUCCCUGUAAGCUCCAGAGGAGAUUACUUCGAGCACCGCUCAUCUUGUGACCGACCAUGUUUGCCUUUCGACAUCCUCUCGCCGAUGGCGUCCUAGUAGCAUAUUGGACUUAUUCUGGCUCCCUUGCACUUCUGUAAAUAUCAUACACACGACUGUACUGGGACUGUGCGUUUUCUAGAGACCAGCAAGCCUUGUGACGUUUCGGAUGGGCAGUGUUUGUUAUCGUUUGUGACGCAAGAGAAAUGUUCCCGCAUGCUCAUCUACAAGAGCACCAGUCCUUACCUCAAGAGUGACUGUUUAGCCCGAUCGUCCUGCCGAACUCCUACUGCACGCUCUUCUCAUCUGGGAAAAGUGUCGUACUUCCUUCUUGGCGGUUUCCUGCGCUGUGUUGGCCUGCGUGUCGUCGCCGUCUGGUGACCGUCUAUCGAAUGUACACCGACAGCUCGCCGUUGCGUUCUUACUAUGCAUACUUAAUAUUUCUAUAGUAAGCUUUCCUGUUUUAAAGAGUGUUGCGUUGCUCGGCGAAUGAAUCGCGCUUCUAGCUGUUUGGUUAGUACGAAGCAGAGAAGUAAAAACGUCUGCUUACGUGUACAGCACCUAGUUUUCAUAAAGGUAGUUCACGUUUUCAUGAGCUGAUCUAUAAUUUUGGUGGCGAGAGUAAUGGACAUUCAUUCACAUUGUGCGCUUUCGUAGUAGUGUGUGUGUGUGUGUGUGUGUGUGUGUGUGUGUGUGUGUGUGU